GACGUAGGAGGCGAGCGUUGUCCGGAUUCAUUGGGCGUAAAGAGCGCGCAGGCGGCUUGGUAAGUCGGAUGUGAAAUCCCGAGGCUCAACCUCGGGUCUGCAUCCGAUACUGCCCGGCUAGAGGUAGGUAGGGGAGAUCGGAAUUCCUGGUGUAGCGGUGAAAUGCGCAGAUAUCAGGAGGAACACCAAUGGCGAAAGCAGCUCUCUGGGACGGUACUGACGCUGAGACGCGAAAGCGUGGGGAGCGAACAGG
rnacentral:rRNA from 1 species